GAUCCUGNGUCAGGAUGAACGCUAGCUACAGGCUUAACACAUGCAAGUCGAGGGGCAGCAUGGUCUUAGCUUGCUAAGGCCGAUGGCGACCGGCGCACGGGUGAGUAACACGUAUCCAACCUGCCGUCUACUCUUGGACAGCCUUCUGAAAGGAAGAUUAAUACAAGAUGGCGUCAUGAGUCCGCAUGUUCACAUGAUUAAAGGUAUUCCGGUAGACGAUGGGG
rnacentral:rRNA from 1 species